rnacentral:tRNA from 4 species
UCCCCCGUAGCUCAGCUGGCAGAGCGUCCGACUGUUAAUCGGCAGGUCACUGGUUCAAGUCCAGUCGGGGGAG